UCCCUGGUGGCUCAGAUGGUAAAGCAUCUGCCUACAAUGCAGGAGACUCAGGGUCAAUCCCUGGGUUGGGAA
rnacentral:tRNA from 1 species